ACAAGGAAUCAUUAGCGAAGUUUAAGUCCAGCUAGUCUUUUAGCCAUUGUCUACUUAUAGAGACCUAGAAGCGUUAGCGUAAGAACAGAUACAAAGCAAUAAUUUAUUUAUUUGUACGGGGUUUUGACAAAUCUCUUGAUGUGGAUCAGAUGCAUUGAGGUCGGAAAGCCUCGAGCUUGUGCAACCCAGCUAUCUUACAAUCCAACACAGGCCUGGAUAGAAGGUGUGCAAUAUCCAAGCUUUCCAUCAGGUGUUUCCCCACUACUUGAUGCCACGGUCCAAAAAUCAGGCAAGUCCACUCCAUGUAAGGAUCACUAAAAGCAAGGGCCCCACACCCUUGGCUUAUUAUUAUAUUUUUAUUUUUCUUACCAAUCUUCAUUGCUUCAAUAUAACGAAGGGUUUCCAUAAUGUUUGACUUGUAUCAUGUAUUUAUCUUUGGUUGUAAGAUGCUUAUUCAAAGUGGAGGUAACUAUAUAGAGUGUAGGCUCAGGGGUCCACAAUGUUUACAUGGAUGCAUGAUCAAAGCCGCUCAUCAAGUACAAGCCACUAUAUGACUUUCCUUGUGCUGAAUUUAGGUCCAUCCAUAUUGAGUUACAUGCUAGUUAAUGCUUCUGUAAAAAGGCUCAUAUUGAGUUGCAUGCUAUGAUGCUUAUGUUGCUGUUUUAUCCUUGAAGAAAAAGGGAAGAAAAAUCUGUCCACAUAUUUAUAAAAAAAAUAAUUCCAUAACUAUUCUCCUCCAUCUGCUAGUUGUAGGUGGAGCAUUCAGAGUGGAGCAUUAGUAACAGAGGGGGGCUUUGCUGCUUCAUAUGGGGAUGGAUAUGGACUUCAUUCGGGUGGUGCUGACAAAGGUCCUCUAUAUGGCAUGAUUUUUGGUUCUUGGGGUGCAUUUGAGAAGUCUCGCCUCGGGCGUCGCUGAAGUUUGUUGAUUUUUUAUUUUUUUUCCUUCUGUCUCAAUCUAUAAAUCUUCU